rnacentral:rRNA from 1 species
UACGAACUGUGCAAACGUUAUUCGGAAUUACUGGGCUUACAGGGUGCGUAGGCGGUCUGUCAAGUAGGGUGUGAAAGCCCCCGGCUCAACCGGGGAAUUGCGCCCUAAGCUGGCGGACUGGAGUGAGAUAGGGGUGUGCGGAACUUCCGGUGGAGCGGUGAAAUGUGUUGAUAUCGGAAGGAACGCCGGUGGCGAAAGCGGCACACUGGAUCUCAACUGACGCUGAGGCACGAAAGCCAGGGGAGCGAACGGG